CGUUGUUCUUUCCGACUGAGGGGAGACUCACCAUUCGGUGGGGGGGAGGCUUCGGCUUCCAGUUGUGUACCCCCAAAUUCGUAUCAGGGGUGCCAUGUUUUUAUGUCUUCCUGGACUAGGAGGACCAGAGUCUGAGAUUCAAGGAGGGCAGGGGACAUACGCCCCAUUUCUGCACUUUCCUUGAAAUAUGUUGGGGAGAAAAGGGAAGAUACCCCUUACCCCCCUCCCCCCGUUUUGGAGUGCCUUCCCUAUAUGAAUUGGGGGCAUCAAACAAGAAAGAGACGUAAUGCCGGGUCGGAGAUGAGCGAAAUGGUGGCAUACCUCAUUCCCUUGACUCCAAUUGUCGUAUUCUUUGAAUGUUUACCAGUUCCAUAACUAACGGCUUUUAAGAGUAAUACACAAUUUUUAAAGAUCGCAUUGGGUUGUGAUAACUGAGAAGUCCGAGAUGAAAGUAGAAGACAACACAUUAAUAGCCUCAGAUACGUUGAAGACUGGACAUAUUGAAGAACUGGCUAUGUAAAGCACUUGAUCUGGCUUCAACCUUUAAUCCAGACAAAGGAAGAAUCUCAAAGAGAAUCCACGAGUUCCAAGUCAAGAUGGCAGUACCACUGGUUGAGAGGUUGAGGAAAUGAACUAAUGCAUGAUUGCUGAGUAUGUCCAUCCGAGACAGGGACACUUAGCAUGGACUACGGUGUUGUCUAAACCAGAGAAGAUUUGGGCCAAUGAUCAUCUGAUAAAUGAUUAUUUUUUAAAAAGUAAAUGGUUCCAGACUCACUUAUAUGCAACAACUGUCUUGGGGUUAUUGGAGGGAUGAAAUGGAUUGUUUGAAUUUUUCAACCAGGAAUGUAUGUGUAUGUUCAUUCCUAAUUUACUGGUCAAAAGUGCAAUGCUCUUUUAAGUGGCUUAAAUAAAGGUGUUUUUUACAUUUUUA